GAGCUGCAUGGAUUUGGAGUCUUAUCCUCACUAGAAGAGAGGAAUGCACCCAAUGGAAAAGAGGAGAGCAACCAAAGUCUAAGCUAAGAGCAUAGUUUCAUAAAGUAUUUCCUCUGGCAUUCAUAGUUUUUGUGGACACACCUGAUACCUGAAAAAAACAAUCUGAAUAUCCAAAACAUCAUUCACUGUUAAAUCCAGGAAACAUCCUUGGAUUUGGAAAUUAUGGAAGGAGAAAUUAUUAUUGGAACUGUACUGAACCUUUAGCUCAAUUAAGUUCAAAACAGAUACAAAGCUAUGAGCAUGUAUAUGCAGAGGUAGAUCAACCUGGAAGCUACUACAAUAGUCCAGGUGAGACAUCAAGAGGACAACUGAGGAAAUAAAGUGGACAUGGAGAAGAGGGAGAAGAUUCAACUAUUUAUACAGGGUUGCCUCAUUUACUCAGCGUGACAGUGUAAACUCCUUGUGGGAGGGAGCAUGUAAGCAAACAAGUGCAGGAACUGGAGUGAAUGACCACUGGAACCUGCCAG